UUCAAAAGUCAUAUCAUAAACUUUAUUGAUACUAUAGAUGGAAUUUAAGGCACCCAACUAAAACCAAGGUAGCCAACAACAGUAAAAGGACUAAACUAUUUAGCUAUUGCAAUAAAACGCCAAAUGCAAAGAUACCAUUUUGCCAGAUGCAAAGAUAAGUGCAGUUGUUUUUGGUUCUCCGAUCCUCAUCAUCACAGCAGCAAAUGUUCAAAUCACAGGGAUCUGAACUGCAGAAAAAUGACAACUAAAAUGACAGCAUAUCAAGCAUAUUUUCAAAUUGGAAGAAAAAUGAUUGGUUGAGAGUCCAUGCUGGAAGCUCUAACAAUUGCUCACAAUCAAGCUUGUUAUUAUGUCAAUUCACCAAGGAGCAAAGCUUACCACAUAACAUAGUUGCUCCAAUGAAGUGUCACACGUUAGCCAAUCCAAUCAAAUAAAGGCUGAUUGGUGAAUUGAGUUGAAAAAAUGACUCACAUUUUCCAGUUAAUCCUAGCAGGGUUUUAACUAGAUUAAUUCAGUUAAUCAAACAAUCUAAAUUUACUUGUUUUUCAUUUA